ACUGCACAUGAAAAUGGCUAUGCAAAACUGAAUUUCCCAUGAAACAUCGUUAGAAUCAGCAUGCUGCUCCUACAGUACUCACGAAGACAGCCCAAGGAGGUUGGCUAUUUCUUUGCUUCAAGGGAGCAGAAAACCAACCUAGAAACUAGACAUGAUGAAAAGUAUGUGGCUGGAAACAUACUUUUGGGGUUUGGGUAAUAUUUGAAAUUAUUGAGAAUAUUUGAGGCCUUCCGUGCUCUGCCACAAUAAAUUAACCAAACAUCACCUGUUAUUAAGUGUUAGUUGGAUCCGAUGCGUUUCCUUGGCCUGUAAAUUGAGCAUGGCCGGAUCGACAAGAUAUUUAUGUGGCUUUCAUAAGAGCCAGCUCAGAGCUGCUAUUGGCUGUUACUAUUCUGUGGGUAAAUCAUGGCGUGCUUGUUAUCUGGUUACCACUGGUUUUGAAAGGAAAUGAGUGUUUGAGGCAGUUGUGAUAAAGAGUGAGGCUUAGGUGCAGUGUUGUCUUUGCUGUCUGGAUGGUUACAGGUUUAUUAAUGUUUUCUGUAUAAAUCUGGCUUUCAUCUCGCAGCCGUUCUGUAUGAUUUUUGUUGGUUUUUUUUUUUUUACUUUAUUUUAAAGGCAAUCGUCAUAUUAGGUAACAUGGUAACCAAAGUACAUUUUACAACAUAUAUAAUUUAUACAGCUCUUAUCUAACUGCUGAUGAUACUACCCUACCCAACUCAUAGUACCAUCCCCACAGCUAUGACCUCAGCACAUAAGAGAUAGAUCCUUUCGAGGUCUUGCUGGACCCUUUAUCAAAAUUUGGGAAAUACUUAAUGAAUGACACGAUUAUACUCAUUAGUGGCACUUUCGAGUUAAAAUAGUGCAUGGCGGCUGCUAUCAUGAAUGACACAAGUCCUAAUCGGCACUAAUCGCGCUUGAUAACGAAGAGCAUGCACCCGAAAUGUUCGCAAUACUUAACAGAGAGAUACAGACAAAAAGCCCACUAAUUAGCGCGGAAAGUCAUGUGAAUGCCAGCACAGCAACGUACCUAGCAGUCAGUCCGCCUCCCUUCAUUUGAGAGAAGAGACCGCCUACCAAUAAAAACCGAACCUUCUCUCCCAAUCCAGACAAAGGGGACGACGGAUCCGCGGCGGCGCGCACUGAGCCUGAGCAUCUCAGCACCUUGGAUUGAUCCGACGCGCAAGAACGCACCGGCACACACGCGAGCACGCCCUCCAGAUCUACCUGAAACCUCCACGCCAGUUAAUUGUCAUUGUUGAAGGGCGAGAAAAGGGAGAUUGAACCCCGAUUUUAUUCGCAGCCUCGCCGUGUUCCCAUGAUGUCAUACCUGUGGAUUCUGCUAUUAGGAAGCCUGCUGGCUACGCACGCCAAGGCACAAGAUGAUAUAAUCCCAACAGUAGAGCCAUCUAUUGAAACUCCCACAUCUAAAGCAGAUGUAGAGGUCAUCGACCAGCAUAACCUUGGGGAGGUGGUCACUGCAACUGAGGAAGUAUUGCAGCCUGAGCCCACUGCUGACCCUGAGGCUGAAUUAAUCCAAGAAGCAAAUGCUGCAGAUGUAAGCACAGAGCCAGUGCCUACAGAUGCUCCUGCAGGGGAGGAGGGUCAAUCAGCGAGUCCUACGACUGGAGAAACAGAACCAGUUAUUUCUGACGCGCCUACAACUACACAAGCUGCUGAUUCUGAGGAUGACACUCCAGAAGCUACGCAAACAGCAGUUAAUGAGGAGGCGCAACCCACCACAAAUGCGAAUACAACACCUGCUCAAGACGAGAGUGGACUUCAUGACAUCAUAACAACAGUAGGUCUAGAAGCCAAUGAGGAGGCACCAACUGAUCCAUCUGCUAAUGAAGAGUCAUCCACAGAUGAUUUCACAACCACAGAUGAAACUGUCACUAUAAAUCCAGGGUUUAACAUUGAGAAGACGUCAAUUGCAGAGCAGGAAACACAUGUGUUAAACCAGGAAACUCCCGUGAAGAGCAGGAUGGGACCACGGCAGAAUUCAGCACCUCUGUCAAACGACGAAAAUAAAAGCGAAGAUGUGCCUGCUUUGGGUGCCUCAGGGAGUGAUGCAGAUCAACAGCCCCAAAAGGCCAGCUCAAGCUCUUUAGCAGCAAUCCUUAGUGCGAUUGUUGUGUCUGCAGUGGGAGCAAUCGCUGGAUACUUCACCUAUCAACAGAAGAAGCUGUGCUUCAAAAAUAGACAGGAAGCAGACCCUGAGGCUCCACACAAAGCUGAUGCAGCAGAGGCUCGGUCAGAUCCCCAGGUUCUUAGCAACCUUCUGAACUCCUCCUAGACCUGAAACGAUCACCUUACCGCCCGGGCCAACUACAGUCUAACAAAGUGGCAGUCUCACUGUUCGGCUCUGUCCUCUGUAGAGCUAAAUUACUGUGAGGCCCCAGAGUAGGGCUGCGUGUUUCAGUCUGAAUUUCUAUGUCUGUAUGUUGCUCUACACGAGCUUGCGUGGAUGUGUCUCAGUGUGCGUGUGAAUAAUAUCCGUUCAUUCUUGUGUGUGCAUAAAUGUGGAAAGAAGGAGCUAGAAAAAGAUCAUGUGAUCUUUAGGGCUUUCAUUAUUGUUAAAAAAAUGUAUUAAAAUAAUUGGUCAAACACUCUACUUUAAACCAAAUUAUUAUAAUUUUUUUCAGAGUGGCCAUUAAAGAGAUUUAAUCUCAAUUUACGUAUAACCAUAAAAUGGAUUAAUUAUAUACCUACCUUUUAAUUUUAUUUAUAUGGCUACUAUUAAUUCAAUGUAAAUACAAAACAGUAACUGAAAUCGAUGUUGUAGGUGUUUAACUUGUAAUUGUUUCUUUGGAAUUUUAUACAAUUUUGCCAUUGUUGAACUGCCCGUAUGAUUUUAAAUCAUUUAGAUAAGACAUUUCUUUUUCAAUUAUCUAUAGUACAGAUGCAGGUUAACUGGAUAACAGGGGGACACAGUAGCAAGCAUUUUGUGGAGUCUGGUUAGGAGCUGUGGUAAAGGAUUUAAAGACGAGUAUUCUUGGGAUGCGUGGUCAAAUGUGUUUAGAUGACCACCGAUGUCACUGAAUGUGUGUGCUUGUUUUCUGAUAGGUGAAGGGGCUUGAUUUAAAAUCCUGUUAAGUGACCGUUUCUCCUCGGUCGGUUGAAUACAUUAAAAGAUGACACAAAUCAAAUACAGCCUAAGAUUCAAGUCAUAUUAAUUUAGGAAAUACCAAAAACAAGCCAACAAAAAUAUAUUGUGUAAACUUACUAAAGUACGAUGAAGUAAAGUCUAAUCCUGACAUGGACAAAUUCAAUGGAGGUCAUGUAGUAAUGUAUUAGACUUUGUUCUGAUGUAGUAUGUGUGUAGUUGUGAAGCAGUCUUUUUUUUUUUCUCUAUAGUGCCUUUCACUGACACAGCCUGGCUUGAGCAAUCUACAGACACACAGAGAAGAUAUACAGGGUGACAAAUUAAAGGAUGGUUUAUGCUGCAGGGAGAUUUUUUUGUUGCUGUUUCAAAUUUCAAAUUUCUGAGCUAUUCUAAAUUUAAAACAUUUCACUUUGAUGGCUGAAGUCUCUUACAAGAUGAAAAUACACCCAUCCAAAUUGCCUGUUUAAUUGCUUGGUAAGAAUGAAAAUAAUGGGAUCCAUAAACUAUGGACUUAUCAGUCUGAGAUCUCCCCCCAGGUCUCCAACAACGUUAUCAAAAUACAUAAUGAGGGAAUAUUUUUUCAGAAGAAUAUUGUUUUAUUCCUCCAAUAGUUCCAGAGACAUGAACUGGCUUAACACUUUAAACACCCUUAAUGCUGGGUCAACCUUUAACUUUUUACCCAUCUGUUACUGAGAAGACAAGCAAACCAGUAGGAGGCUAUAACAAUGAAAGAGUGUUCUGUAUUCAUUCUUAAUCUGUCAUUUACGCAAUUACAUUUUUUAAAAUUAAACUGCUCAUGCAUGUAAAAUAAUAACACAAACAUAACAGCUGCUGUAUGUGUGUCCACAGUCGGGCCGUUUACAGUCUUAGUUAUUUUAGCUAAUCUUGCAAUCUAAACUCUUUCAACCACCUCCGCUGGUGGCAGAUGUAAAACUCUUCUCAUUGUGUGUCUCUUUAUUUGAGCAAGCCAGCUGCUGUAACAGUGUAUUUUUAUUGUUCAUGUAUCCACAUUACAAACGCCAUUCACUUGUGAUUUUUUUAUAGGAAUCCUUUACAUUUAGCAGCCAUGCCUCGGAGCCGACAGAUUGUCUUUAGUCAACUUGUUUGCUGUGCUAUUUUGUUAAUAUUAUUGUAAAAUGCAAAGAAUGCAGCGCUACGGCUUUUUUCCAAAUGUAGCACACACACAAAAAAAUCGUAACUUCUGAAUGUCUUUUUUGUUGCCUUGAAGUUUUGUACUUGCCCUGCUCCCUUUAAACUUUGAUAUAUGGCUAUAGAGGCUGCAUAGUGCUGCAGGUCAUGUAAUGUGUGUUACUUGUAAAGCACCAUAUAGCUGCAAUACAGGACAGAGACUGUUGCUAACAGCCUAGCCUCAAGCUGAGAAAUGUUAAUAAUCUGUGAUCAAUUCCACUCUACAAACUGUGGGUCAGACGCAGUGUCAGCGAUCUGCCUUCUUAACCUGUAAUCUGUGACAGACAAAAGCUGUUUUCUCUUGUAACACUGAACUACGUAGAUAGUGUAUCAGGAGUGACAAUGCACAAAAAAUACCCACUCAAUAAUAAUAAUACAAAUAGGACUAGCCACCGAUGCCUUCAAAAUACAAAUUUUUUCUUUAAAUGCAGUACUGCCCUGCAGUGAACAAAAGCACUGAAAUGUCCUGCGAUGCUCUUUUAGAUAACUUCCUGUAAUGGAGACUCGUACAAUAAUCCAGAAAAAUUCGAUAUGCGUUGCUUGCACUGAGGACAUCAUGGUCAACAAUACAUUUUGCCGAAACACUCUCGGUCAAUAAUUCAGUCUUAUUUAUAUUAUAUCAAUUCACAACUACAGUCACCUCAUGGUGCUUGAUCCCAGCAAUACAAAGUAUCAGAACACAGCAUUCAAACUAGAAUGUAAACCUUGAGUGUUGUAAACUCAUUGGGUCCUGAAGUGCACUUGCCACAUAACACUAGGGCAUCAAUCAUGGCACUGACCAGUCCUGCCUUAUUCCUUAUAUGCUCUUGAAUAUUCCUGAUAGGAAAACAAACAAUAAUGUCAUCAUAAAAAAACGACACAGCGACACAAGCAGAGAUUUUUUUUGUAAUCUCAAUGGGAGAAGCACGUUCCUAUCCUGUAUACAUCUUGAUUUACUACACAUAUAUAGACAAUUCAUUUGUUCUUCUUCUGACUUCCUGUUUAUUUAAAUAUUCUGUGUGGUUUUUGUGUAGGAACUGUCCUUUUUAUUUUUGUCAUCUGGCACUUGUGUUCUUCUGGAGUUGUGUAAAUAAUGUUUGAGGAAUCAAUUAAACAGUUUUUGUGGGAUUUCUUUUUCUUUCAUUUUUAGCCACUGUUGAUAGACCAGUUCAUCACUUUGGUAUACAUCAAAAACUCUUCAGUGAUGUAAUGGAUUAUUGUAGAACGGACAUUCAAGGUCACCAGAAGAUUAAUUGAAUUAGCACCAUCUAAAGUUAUUGUAGUUUGACAAUUACUUUGGUUUAUGCCAAAAUACAUUAGUAUUUAGAUUUCCCAUUAGUCAAAGCAGUGUUUGUUUUUAUUGCUAAUUCUAAAAUGUAUGUUUUGUUUGUUAAUGUGCUCAAAUCUAAUGGCAAACAUGUAGACUGGCCACUUCAUCUGGUACACCUGUUAACACAAAUUUCUAAUCAGCCAAUCACAUGCUGGAAACUUAAUUUAUUUAGGAAUAUAGACAUGGUCAACAUGACAUGCUAAAAUUCAGAGUGUCAGAAUGUAAAAGAAAGGUGAUUUAAGAUACCCUUUUGGUGUCAGACAGUCUUGUCUGAGCAUUUCAGAAACUCAGAAACACCGCAACCAUCUCUAGGGUUUACAGAGAAUGGUCCAAAAAAAGAGAAAAGUUCCAAUCAGCAGCAGUUCUCUGAGUGAAGAUGCAUUAUUGAUGUCAGAGAUCAUAGGAGAAUUGCCAGAUUGCUUUGAGGUAAUAGGAAGGCAACAGUAACUCAGAUAACCACUUGUUACAACCAAGCCACACAGAAGAGCAUCUCCAAAAGUGCAAUUUAUCUGCAAUUUAACAGCAGAAAAACACACUAGGCGUUGCUGCUGUCAGCUAACAACAGUAAAGUGAAGCUAGGAUUCAUGUAAGCUCACCAAAACUGGACAAUGAAAACUGAAACUGAAAACAUGGAUCUAUCCUGUCUUCUAACAACUGUUCAAGCCAAAUGGUGGUGUUAUAACGAAUAUAAUAUUUCCUUGGCACAGUUUCAGCCCUUAAUACCUACUGAGAAUCACUGAAAUCCCACAGCCUGCCGCAGUAUUGUUGCUGACCAUGUCCAUCCCUUUAUAACUAGUGUAUACAUCUUCUGAUGGCUGCUUCCUGCAAGGUAACAAAUCAUUUCACAAAGUUCAGAUCAUCAGAAACUAGUUUCUUGAACAUGACAAUAAGUUCAAUGUACUCAAAUGGCCUCCACAGUCACCAGAUCGCAAUCCAAUACAGCACAUUUGGCAUGUGGUGGAACGGCAGAUUGUUGUCAUGGAUGUGCACCCAACAAAUCUGCAGCAACGGCAUGAUUUUAUCAUAUCAGUACGGACAAAAAUCUCUGAGGAAUGUUUCCAGCAUUUUGUUGAAUUGAUACCACAAAGAAUUAAGGCAGCUAUGAAGGCAAAAGGGGGUCCAACUAGUAGUAGGGUGUACCUAAUGAAGUGGGCAGGGAGUGCAAUUCUGUAUGGUAAACACCAAUGCCCUAUGGGUCUUAUGAGCAUGUGGUUGUGACCAAUGAGUAAGCUUCAAUUACUGUUAUUUUACCAUACAUACGAUAUAAAUACAGUAAAAGUUAUUCUAUUUUGUGUUUGUGGCUUUUUGUGUAUGUGAUCUGUCGAAAAGUUAAUAAAGUUCAGUGAGAAAAAAA
ensembl:lncRNA